CAUUUUGAAUUUUGUUCGUUUUCCUAUUUUGUUUUCAACUUCAGUUUUGAUUUUGACUUGAGGGUUAUGUUAUGUUUUUAAUUUUGAACUAUCUUUUAAAGAUUUAUUAUUUUAAAUUAAUCCAAUACGAAUAAAUCUUCAAUCAAUAAGUAUUUGAUUGAAGGCUUUUUCCAACUAUGAAGGAAACCAAUAACAUGCAGGCAGAUAUCACAUUGGAUUUUGACAACGCUGACAAAGCUAGAGAAAGAAGAAAACGACGAUCCACAAUUUUUGAAAAAUCUCGAACUUUAGCAAAUAUUUCUGGACUAAAUGAUACAAAUGACAUGAAUGUUGACAAUUCUGACAAUGACUGGGAAAAGAGUUAUAAGGACGAGAUGAAAAAGGAGAUCAAUGAUUGGAAGAGUGUGACACAGUCUCUCAAAAGCGAGAUGGAAGCUUUCUCACAAAAAAUGAAGAACGUAGAAUCUCUGACCGAUAUAGUACCCAGUCAACUUCUAUGUGAGGAUGAAAAGUUAUUCUUGAAAGGUUCCGACCUCUACAAGACCUACUCGGCAAAAAUCGAUUCGACAACUGAAGCCCUGGCAUUGGCUGAGAAAAUGCAGCUGCUGACUGAUAAUCUCAUUUCAAGGUCAAAGCUGGAAGCCAAGUUUACAUCAACUAUCAACAAAAUGUGGCUGCAGCUGAACUCAGAUUACAUUUUCAAUGAUGUGACAGUCGACAAUGACAAUUUAGAAAAUUUGCCUUAUCCUGAACCAUUCCUUCAAGAUUUCAGUUGCAUUUAAUAUGAUAAAAAAUGAUUGGAAAAUUUUUCAAGAUUAAGUAUAUUGUAAUAUUAAAGAUUUUAUAGUAUAUUGUCGUCUUCUAAAUUGUUUGCCAUAAUAAAGUCAUCGAAAUUUAGUGUGUACAAGAUUUCUUUCAGUGCAUUUUAAAUAAUGUACAACUGAUCCAAUCUCAAAAUCCUGUAAUCACUCCACAUACCAAAGUCAUUCAAAAAUAAUGAAUCAAGUUUCAAAAGUUACUUGUCAGUAUCACGAAUCUCGGAGAAGACAUUUGGACAUGGUCAAACCGGGUACGCUUUAAUAUGUCAAAAAGGUUACAAAAUAAAAUACCUGGAAAAAAAAUUGUUGGCUGUUUCAGUUUCACCGAUUUGAUCAUUGACUAGAGAUAAUAAUGACUCUUGUUAAUAAACACUCACUUUAGAACACAUCCGCUAAAGAGUUAUUACUAAUAUUUUGUAUUUAUAUUUUAUAUUCUUCACAACUUUACAUGGUGAAACAUAUAAUAACACAUAUACCUAUAGGUAACACAUAUUAGAAAUCAGGAAACAAUAUUGUAUUUGCUUUUUGGGAUGUGUGUACUGGAUUUAUCGAUAGAAGAUAGAGAUCAUAAUAUGAUGCUCCAGUGAACUCGUUGUAAAGCGUAAGCGAUUUAAUCAUGCUCAAAUGUUUUGACCGAACUUCUUGAAAUCGGACAAGAUUUGUUCCUCUAAUGCCGCAUCCACA
rnacentral:misc_RNA from 1 species